rnacentral:rRNA from 1 species
UACGAAGGGGGCUAGCGUUGCUCGGAAUCACUGGGCGUAAAGCGCACGUAGGCGGACUCUUAAGUCGGUGGUGAAAUCCUGGAGCUCAACUCCAGAACUGCCUUCGAUACUGAGAGUCUCGAGUCCGAGAGAGGUGAGUGGAACUGCGAGUGUAGAGGUGAAAUUCGUAGAUAUUCGCAAGAACACCAGUGGCGGAAGGCGGCUCACUGGCUCGGUACUGACGCUGAGGUGCGAAAGCGUGGGGAGCAAACAGG